rnacentral:tRNA from 1 species
UGGGGCUUAGCCAAGCGGUAAGGCAACGGGUUUUGAUCCCGUCAUCCCAGGUUCGAUCCCUGGAGCCCCAGCCA